GGGCGAAUGGCGCAGUGGUAGCGCAGGACUUUUACACAGUCAAGGUCGGGGGUUCGAAUCCCUCUUCGCCCA
rnacentral:tRNA from 1 species